CUCUGCACGUGACGUCACUAUCUUCAAAACUCCGCCCGCUCCGCCAUGACGGACGUCAAAACAACCUAUGCACUCCUGUAAAACCUGUCAAAAAACGCACAUCUGGUAGCCUAGUGUCGCUUUUAUUGAGUUGAACAGUAGAAAUGGUCAAAGAAAAUGCGCGGUCGGCUGCAGAGAAAGACAAGGAUACAAACCAAACUUGGCAUUUUAAAACUUUUAACGAGGAAAGAUACGGUGGUGAUGAUGGAUAGCUGCUGUCAAUCAUAAUGACUUGCUCAGCCGUCGCGGAUUUACAGCGAACACUUUUUAUAAGGUUAGAGACAGAGACACAGGCACGCAGCCAGCCAGGAGACAUCUGCACUCUUGGUCCGCCAUGCGGCCUGUCUUCAACAUACCCAAGAAAGAGAGAAAAAGUUAGCUCUUGUCUUCAUCUUGAAGGAGUCCCAGGCGAAAGGAUUUGGUUUUCCCUUCUGUGGUGAUCAAUCAGCGUCAGCAUCUCCGGAUGUUCCUCGUAGUCCUUUCUUGGAUGCAGGUGCAGCUCCAGAAAGGUGGACUCAGAGGAACGAAUUUCAGUACCCACAAUCUCCUGAACUACAAUCAGGGGAAGAACUAGGAGUCAUCUUUCUGGAUCUCAACGGUCGCUAGUAACCAUCACUCUUAUUGUUGGAAGAGCAAAACAGUCUUCAACCUCCAGAGAAGCGUGAUGGAUAACUUGUUAGUAAUGUAGAUCAGCUAUGUUGUGAUAGUCCGAUGCUACAAGAGUGCGGCAGAUCUCAAUUUUAGGCUCUCAGUGGUUGAGAUCUAUGAUUGUUGUCAGGCCAGGGUUUCUUGGCACCACCAUACUCUAACACUAGUUCCACAAUCCUUUUGUCUCUACAUCUUUGGAAGCCUUACAAAUGUUCACCUACACCCUUGAACUUUAUAUCCGUCAUCAGCUGAGUCAGCCAGGAACUGAUUCAUUCAACCGUGUAUGGUUCGGUUUCAAAUGGGAUCAAAGAAAAUCUUUAAGUGGUGGGUUCUCCUAAUAUUACUAUUUAGGGAAUACAGUUGUUUCGAAUAUUUAUUUUUUUUUAAAAACAAACGAGACAUGUUUGGACUUUAAAUGACUGAGCAAACACUGCUGACAUGAAAGUAAUUAAAGAUUAAAUGCAAGCUGACACAUCUGUUGACGUAUCCAACUGAGAACCCCCGAGCUCCACGAGAGAAAAAAAAACACAAAGAACACUUUAGCUUUUCAGCUCUUGACAGAUUUGCACGACUUAGCGGACCGAGAGUUCCUGAAUGUGGCAUCAACAUCAUUCAUCAAAAUCACUCUGUCGACGCUGCAGCCCGACUCCAUUUACUCUCCCCGAAAUCAUGCAGUGCUGCCCCGGCUCCGGGCAGGAAAUCACAUCCAAACAAACCGAUGCAGCCAAACACCUUGUGGCAUGUGGGUCACUGUGCGAACGCGUUCAGCGUGAGAUGCAACAAAUUGCGGAAUUUAUUGGUGGAAUCCACCUAUGAGAGAGUGUCAAAGCCUUGAUAUCCACAAGCAUUUCCUCUGGUGAGAGUCUAGA